rnacentral:tRNA from 1 species
AGGGACUUAGGAUAAUAUUAAACCAAGGGCCUUCAAAGCCCAAAACAGGAGUGAAACCCCCCUAGCCCCUG